rfam:Triticum aestivum genome assembly, contig: Triticum_aestivum_CS42_TGACv1_scaffold_221071_3B
GAUAUACCCCCUCUGUCCAGAAAUCCUUGUCGAAGAAAUCAAUAAAAAUGGAUGUAUCUAGAACUAAAAUACGUCUAGAUACAUCCAUUACUACGACAAGUAUUUCCGGAUGGAGGGAGGACACA